rnacentral:lncRNA from 1 species
AUGGCUCCAUUUGUGCUCCUGUUGUUCCUCCUGUCUCAAGCUGCUGCUGAACAACAUGUGAUAUCAGUGAAACCUGGAGAUGAUGUCAUUCUGUCAUGUUCAGCUGGUGAUGACUCCAUCAGAGCUGUAGAGUGGACCAGAACUGACCUGGAGUCUCCAGAGUACGUCCUCUUUUACAGAGACGGACGCUCAGAUCCAACCUACCAACAUCCAUCCUUUAAGGGUCGGGUGGAUCUGACAGACAGAGAGAUGAAGGAUGGAGACGUGUCUUUAGUUCUAAAGAACGUGAUCAUCAGUGACAGAGGAACAUACGAGUGUCGAGUUGCUACAGGUGGUCCAAGCCGUCGUAAGAGAGCCAACAUUGACACUGACCCAAUCAGAACCAUCCAACUGGAGGUCACAGACUCAGGUUCCAACAGCAAAAACACCAUGGAUGGAGACUACAAAGACACAACCAACAUGGAUGGAGACUACAAAGACACAACCAACAUGAAUGGAGACUACAAAGACACAACCAACAUGGAUGGAGACUACAAAGACACAACCAACAUGGAUGGAGACUACAGUAGGUGAUCAGCUCCUCUGAGCUGCCACAGACCUCUUGACACCUGAACACAUGUAUGGUGACUCAGCAUUAUUUUUGUUCUCUCUGUGAGUGUGAGGCUAUGUGUAACUGUUGCUGUAUGGUUCCGUACGGUUCACUGCGUACUAAUACUAACUUUGUUCCAACAAAUAAAUAAGAGUAAUACAAAUAUGAGGAUUUGGGUGAUUUUAUUGUGUCCUUCCCAUCUUUCUACUUCCAUCAAUGAGGAAAAGGUGAAGACAGCUGAUGGGUAUGAUUUCACACAGCAUUUGGUCCCACAGACGAAGGCAGCAGAGGGGGGGUGUCAGGUUGAGGCCCAGGAGCCCACCCAUCUGACUCUGAGGCACCUUCCAGGGAAGAAUGUAAGGUUAGAUCCAGCUACACUAUUUACAGCAGAGCUUCCAGGCAACAGCACACAGGUAACAGACAGCAGUGCAGGCCUUCUCCUCAGAGAGCUUAUCUACUGUCGCUUGUCUACUGACUUAUCUCUCUGUAUAUCUGAUAUAGAAGAGACUCAUCAACCACACUUAGAGCAGAUGGGAAUAUAAUCACACUUCCCUCAGGAGCACAAACAUCUGCACUCCAAAAUAAAAUGUUUUAGUGUGACAAAUGUCCAAUAAUGGAAUCAGAAUAAUGAUUAUUGUCCAUUAAUAUAACAAACAGAACUGUGAGAGUGUGUUUUAAUACAUUGUCAUGAAUGUACAGCGUGUGCAGGCAGAGCGGGCAGG